GCACGUUUAUCAUUUGUUGGCUGAUGUAGCUUUCAUAGCACACUUCCAAGCUCAGCUUUGCCUAUAAAAAGAGAGCUUAUCACUUGUAAACUCAACUUGAUUUGAAGUAAAGAAAUGUUGCCAAUUUUUAGCUUUUACUCUCAAGUUCACCCUUGUGCAUUGUUAUCUUGCACCUCCUCUAGCUUCUUUCCCCUUUGGAAAGCUUUCUGAGCUAGAACUCUACCAAACACAGCCACUCAACACCUCCAACAUAUUAACAAACACCUUACGUGCACUCCGUAACUCCACUAAUUCAUUCAAUCCGCUGCCAGUUCUCUGCUUCGGGAAGCUUCUUCUGCGUUUCCUGGAGUUGCUUCCAUCAUUUGGUAGUCAGAGCCAGCACGUCCACGCUUGUCUUCAAGAGAUAAGCUUCUCUACUUUGCAAAUUUCCAAUUCUGUCAUGUGCUGUUCUGCUGUCACGCUAUUUGUGAUUUUUUUUUUCAAUUCUGUUUCUCUUAAUUCGUGUCUGUGAUUGCUGUAAUUGUGUUUUCACUUUUCCUUAGUGUUUGUUGAUCAUUUUAAACGGUGAAAGUCGUUUGUGUCAGUUCAUUCCAGCUUUCAAAUUCAUUCUUCAGUUUUGUCCAGUAUUGUGCACAAGUGUUGUCGUGUUUUACUGUUACAUUGGUUUAAAUCUGUUCCAGCUUUCAUUUGGCAUUUUAAUCUGAGGUUUGAUGCAUAUGUAGUCAUCUAUUGAUCAUAUAAGGCAGUGAGACAAUUUCUAGCCUGAUCAUAUGAGCUAUAGCAUUGCAAAAAGAAAAUUGUUUCUGAUUUUCAAAGUCUGCACAGAAUUUUCAAAAUUGGUGCAAUAUCCAAAAACUGUUCCAGUGCACAUUUUGCUGUUCUUAAGCUUUGAACAAGUUUAUUUGAUGAUGUGAAACAUGUUCUAAGUAGUGCCAACCAGUAUUAAUCACUACAAUGCAAUAAGCAUAGUUGAGUUCCUCAGAAAUCUGGUUUCAAGUGCUGUCACAGUUUUCAUUCAAUCUUUUUCACCGUGAUUGAUGUCUUUGAUGUGUCUUAGGUGUUUAAAAUUCUUCUAGCUGAUAUUCUGCAGUUAGAUCUAGUGUUAGGACUUUCCUAGAGUCAUUGUAUGUGCUUUCAAAUUUUCAUUUCCAUGCUUUCAAAAUCUGGUGCAGUUUGGUAAAAAAAAAACGCUGCAUAAUUAGCAACUCAAUCUGUGAUUUGGAGCAUUUGGCUGUUUCAGUGCAGUUUAACCAUUUGUGCAAGUAUACUUGACCAUUUCAAACUUGUAGUUACUGUUCAUGUGGUCAUUUUUCAGUCCCUAUGCAAAAUUACCAUUCCAAGCAUCAAAUUUUGUUAAAAUUGGAAAUCAAUCACUGGAAAUCUGCUAUGGACCUUGUUUUGGCUGUCUAAGUGUUUGCACAUAUUCCAUUUGAUGAUACAAACUUCUUUGAAGUGUCACUUGCUCAUUAGCAUCACUGAAAUUCAUUUUGGAUACUGCUGUUCCAUUUUUCCAGUAACAUUUUUGGUGCAAUUUGCCUUUCUUGGCUGAUUUCCACAUUUCACAAUUCUCAAUUUGCAAUUUGGAUUGGCAAAAGCUGGGGAUUUUGUUUCCAAUUAAUUUCUAAUGCUUAAACAAGUGAAACACAAUCAGAAAAACCAAUUAAUCCCUGCAAUCUAGUUUUCACGAAUCCAAAACCAGAAAACACCAAAAUCUGCUGUUCUUUGUGGCAUUUCAUCAAACAGUUUGGCAUUUUCAUCAAACACUUUCAUUGCACUUGAAUUUGCUCUUUGUUUUUGGGUUUUUCUUGCUUUUCUAAUCUGUUCUAGACCCUAUCUUAAGUUCCUUUUGUGUGCUAGCCUUUAUUCCUGCCCCAAAGUGUUUAGAAAUCACCUUUUCUUGACUUCCAUAUUCUGUUGUCAUAUUACUUCUGCAUUCAACUUGGAUGCACCAUUCUUUUGAUCACUCACGGGUUUUUGUGAUUCUUGUUUGCUGGAACAUCAUAUUUUGGUGGAGUUUUAAGAUCCAGCUAGGCCUUAUCAAAGGGGUAUCAUCUUAAGAAGUGGAGGUCUUGCUAACAUUGCUUCAAGUGGACUUCAAGAGCAAUUUCCAUUGGCUGUCCAGCACUUCCUUGCAGCAGAAAAACACCACUUUAAAGUUACAUUUCAGCUCAUUUAUUUAGCUGUUGCUACCACACUUGGCUUUGUGACAUUGUCUUACACUUCAUUGUAUAAGUGGCAGUCUAUCACGGAACCUUUGUGGCCAAAUAAUAAAGACUUGGAAACCUAUGCUGCCAAGAAGCUUUGCUGCUGCUCAUCAUCAAUUAGCCAAGAAGAAACACAUUUAACAUGUGCAAAAUGUGGAACACAAACAAUCGGGUGGCUUCCUUAAGUCAACACCUUUUUCAUGAGGAACAUGUGGAGCACAUGGAUGGGAAAGAACUACUGCACAUUGGAAGUCUGCACGUUUAUCAUUUGUUGGCUGAUGUAGCUUUGUUAGCACACUUCCAAGCUCAUCUUUGCCUAUAAAAAGAGAGCUUAUCACUUGUAAACUCAACUUCAUUUGAAGUAAGGAAAUACUGCCAAUUUUCAGCUUUUACUCUCAAGUUCACCCUUGUGCAUUGUUAUCUUGCACCUCCUCUAGCUUCUUUCCCCUUUGGAAAGCUUUCUGAGCUAGAACUCUACCAAACAUACCCACUCAACACCUCCAGCAUAUUCACAAACACCAUACGUGCACUCCGUAACUCCACUAAUUCAUUCAAUCCGCUGCCAGUUCUCUGCUUCGGGAAGCUUCUUCUGCGUUUCCUGGAGUUGCUUCCAUCAUUUGGUAGUCAGAGCCAGCACGUCCACGCUUGUCUUCAAGAGAUAAGCUUCUCUACUUUGCAAAUUUCCAAUUCUGUCAUGUGCUGUUCUGCUGUCACGCUAUUUGUGAUUUUUUUUUUCAAUUCUGUUUCUCUUAAUUCGUGUCUGUGAUUGCUGUAAUUGUGUUUUCACUUUUCCUUAGUGUUUGUUGAUCAUUUUAAACGGUGAAAGUCGUUUGUGUCAGUUCAUUCCAGCUUUCAAAUUCAUUCUUCAGUUUUGUCCAGUAUUGUGCACAAGUGUUGUCGUGUUUUACUGUUACAUUGGUUUAAAUCUGUUCCAGCUUUCAUUUGGCAUUUUAAUCUGAGGUUUGAUGCAUAUGUAGUCAUCUAUUGAUCAUAUAAGGCAGUGAGACAAUUUCUAGCCUGAUCAUAUGAGCUAUAGCAUUGCAAAAAGAAAAUUGUUUCUGAUUUUCAAAGUCUGCACAGAAUUUUCAAAAUUGGUGCAAUAUCCAAAAACUGUUCCAGUGCACAUUUUGCUGUUCUUAAGCUUUGAACAAGUUUAUUUGAUGAUGUGAAACAUGUUCUAAGUAGUGCCAACCAGUAUUAAUCACUACAAUGCAAUAAGCAUAGUUGAGUUCCUCAGAAAUCUGGUUUCAAGUGCUGUCACAGUUUUCAUUCAAUCUUUUUCACCGUGAUUGAUGUCUUUGAUGUGUCUUAGGUGUUUAAAAUUCUUCUAGCUGAUAUUCUGCAGUUAGAUCUAGUGUUAGGACUUUCCUAGAGUCAUUGUAUGUGCUUUCAAAUUUUCAUUUCCAUGCUUUCAAAAUCUGGUGCAGUUUGGUAAAAAAAAAAACGCUGCAUAAUUAGCAACUCAAUCUGUGAUUUGGAGCAUUUGGCUGUUUCAGUGCAGUUUAACCAUUUGUGCAAGUAUACUUGACCAUUUCAAACUUGUAGUUACUGUUCAUGUGGUCAUUUUUCAGUCCAUAUGCAAAAUUACCAUUCCAAGCAUCAAAUUUUGUUAAAAUUGGAAAUCAAUCACUGGAAAUCUGCUAUGGACCUUGUUUUGGCUGUCUAAAUGUUUUCACAUAUUCCAUUUGAUGAUACAAACUUCUUUGAAGUGUCACUUGCUCAUUAGCAUCACUGAAAUUCAUUUUGGAUACUGUUGUUCCAUUUUUCCAGCCACAUUUUUGGUGCAGUUUGCCUUUCUUGGCUGAUUUCCACAUUUCACAAUUCUCAAUAGCAGUACAGAGCGCUUGUUUAACGUUAGGAGCCUG
rnacentral:sRNA from 1 species